rnacentral:tRNA from 1 species
GAUUCUGUAGCUCAAUUGGUUAGAGUACUGCACCGGAAUCGCAGGCUGCAGGUUCGAUUCCUGCCAGAGGGC